CACAGCAGCGAUAAUACUGAAUACACCAGUUUCCAAUGCACCACUGAAGUGAAGCAACGCUGGGCGUGGUUAGUAUCUGGAUGGUUGACCUUCUUGGCACUCGCGUGCUGCUGGCU
rfam:Asian citrus Psyllid, Diaphorina citri - Florida Strain, whole genome shotgun sequence.